GACGAACUGUCCUAACGUUGUUCGGAAUCACUGGGCUUAAGGCGCGUAGCGGUCCGACAAGUCAGGGGUGAAAUCCUGCAGCUUAACUGUAGAAGUGCCUCUGAUACUGUCGGUCUUGAGGGAGAUAGGGGUGUGCGGAACUUCCAGUGGAGCGGUGAAAUGCGUUGAUAUUGGAAGGAACGCCGGAGGCGAAGCGGCGCACUGGAUCUCUACUGACGC
rnacentral:rRNA from 1 species